CUUGGAAAAUUAUUUUAGCCAUCUUCAUUUCUUGAGCACGUACAUCUCCCUAGAUAUAUUCUUCAAUGUACUCAUCCUGAUCUCCACGCGUUGAGCUCUCUGGGGACUCUUUUCCCUCACGUCAUCCCUCCCAUCUCUCAUUCUCCAAUAUAUCCUAUGCACAUAUAUUCAAGAGUUCCCCCACGCACUCACUAUCUCACGCAAGCCUCUCUGCCAUGCUCUAGCUCUCAGACAUGCUGCUUGCCUCCAGCGAUCUCCUCGUCGCUCAACUUUGCCAGGACUCACCCAGGCCUGUGUUCCCUCCGCAGUUGCUCGUUCUUCUCGCCAGGUCUUCUUCGCCCUCAGCCAUGGCACUGGCCGUGUGCCCCAGCGCCGGUCGCUCCUCCCUGCUUGCCCUCCAGCUCGACCUGGCCGCGCGCCCUCCAGCUCGGUGCUCCCCUGCUCGGUUUUCCCUGCGUCGCGCGCGUUCCGUCAUCCCCUGCUGUGACCCCACCGUGGAGCUCCCCUGCAGCGCGUCCCUGUUUCCUUGUUGCUGCUCAUGCGAUGGGGUUCGUCCUCUGGGCCACGUCGGCAUGUGUAGUCGUUCCCUGCCUCUGAACCCCGGCUGGUCUAUGCUGCAACUCGCCGUCGAAUCGCCUGCUCCGCUGUAUGAAGUCGGCUUGUGUCGCACGUCUGGUGCUCGACGAAAAGCUCGAACAUGAGACCGUCAUCGAUCCUGCCGUCGUCCAUCUCGCCAACAUCGACUUCGUCUCAAAUAUCACCUCGACUUUGCGACAGCAGUCCGAUGUUUCUAAUGUCGCCCUGAGCUUAUUCCGUGUGCCACGACGUCUUGUUUACCUCCACGCCAAGGCAUCACCGAGGUACGUGAAUUAACCACGUGAUGCGGAAGACGAGCCAAGUCAACCCCAAGCGCGGGCUAAUCCGCAGGAUGAAGCUGAUAAACUAAUCUGAAGAUGGAUAGACGAAACAAGAUCAGAACAAAAGAUGAUCGUCAAGUGGACAUCGUCUAACAAACACUAACCUAGUGUUUCUUCCAGGCAAGCCUCGGUGCAUGCAACCCCUUCCUUGUGUUUUUAAAUUAUUUUUACACACUUUAAGUCUAGUGAAAUGUGCAUUAAGUUUAUAGGAGUUGCUUGGAACCCUUUGAUGCAUUGCCUUCCUUGAUAUCCAUACCUUUAUAGAUACUUCUGAUGAAGUAUCAAAUUCUGAUUUACAAAAAUGCUUAGCCCUGCUCAGAUCUUGUGGAUAGAGGUUUGUCUUUUGCUUUAAGGCCUAGCUUAGGGGUUAUCCUGAGAAAAGAUGGCUUCUACCUGCAAGAAUAUUUUCAUUGAGAGCGUGGUGGGAUCUUACUGCAAAGUUCCCUGUGAUGCUCUUUUCAUCCUAAGGAACACAAACAAUCCUAAGGAUGGAAGUACUUAAAUCGGGACUUGGGCUAUGAACAGGUGAUGUUCUACCCAGGUUAUUUAAGGAUUGGAUGCGUAUGUAGGCCUGUAUGAUCAAGGACUAUCUUAACUAGCCACAUGCCCUGGAUAUGGGACAGGGUAAGCUUGAACCCGGCUAUUCCAUACAUGAAAAGACAAUCGCGCACUGGGAGUGGAGAGAUGGCAAGAGUGGCACGUACCCUCCUGGCAAAGGAUCGCCUAAAAGGGGUGGUGUGCUCUCGGGUGGCGUGGACCUGUUCAUGUAGUGGAGGAUCCGUGGGAACGGUUGACAUAUGCAAGGGUUAAGUGCUACAUAUGUCGUGUGGUUAGAGAUCCUCAGCUGAGUAAAUCGAUUCAGAUCGCCGUUAUAUCCCCGGAGAGUGGAGACUUGAUCGCUGCCCUGCAACCUAAGUCAGGAUGUGAACCUCAUGAAUAAAAAUGAUGUUUUAUUGAUGAGAUGGUGAAAUUAGACCAGAUGCAAACAGAGUCUAUUAAUAUUUUAUCUGACAUUAAAAUAUUGAAAGUAAGGACUCACUUUAGUAAGCUAAUUCUGCAAAAGUAUCUAAGUUGAUUCUUGCUAAAGCCUCUCCUUGAUUCCCAAAUCCAGCAUAUCCUUGAGAGUCUUUUCUUUAGUCGGGUAAGUCUUGCUGAGUAAUUCCAUACUCAGGGUUUUAUUCCCUGUUGUUUUUCAGGUUAUAGUUUUGUGCUGCUGUGAUGGUGUUAAGUGCCGGUGGGCUCGGCCUUCUUAUAUAAGUAUACCCCAUCUUUACCUUCUUAUUGAGGAUGGUCACUUGAGCUAGCAUAUAUUUCAAACUUACAAAUAAUUUAUAACAAUUUAAAGUUAUUUCUUUGAAUCACAUUUGUAAUCACUCCGAUCAUACAAAGUAAAAUUUUUGUAACUUGUAAAAUUUGGUAAUAAGAUUUCCGCUGCAAAGAUGUUGAUGUGUGUGAUUUGUGUUUACUUAAUCCCGCGGUUCUGGUUGUAAGUGGUUUAUCCGAUGUCCUUGGGGCAAUCGGACGGAUCCUGUUGAGUUAUUUAGUGCACAUGCAUAGCUGUCUGAGGUCUUUGAGACAAGGAUAGGUGCAUGUGGGCCCAAUAACUUGGGAGGUUCUGCCACAGCUGGUAUCGGAGCAGGAUUAAGUAUCUACAGUCACAUACGUAUUUUCAAAACAAAAGUUUUGAUUUUGAAAAACCUAUUUUCAACUAAACACAUUGUUUGGCUUUGAAAAACAGUUUUGAAAAACUAUAAUGCUAGCGACAUCCUCUGUUAAGCCCUAAACUAAGGACUAUCAGGUGGCUUAGUGAAAACCAUAACCCAUAACCAGGUGGGUAUUGCAUACAUGUGUAUUGUUAUUUUUGAGGCCAUUCAGUUUUGAAUGGAUCGACGUUCAGGUAAAGUGAGAUGUGAGAGCAUGACCGAACAAACGUCGGUCAGGGAAGAGUGUAAAAAGCGCUUGAUUAUAUACAUGUUCCACAUAUGUAUAUAUGAAGGCUGCGAUGUGGAGUAUUUACUUUUCUGGGAAUUCAGUACCCCAUGGAUGUGUAUGGGUAUACAGACAUGGGACUACUGAGAAGUGUAAUGUACUUGUAACGACGCACCUACGCUAAGGUAAGAAGGUGAGUUACCAUAAUGAGUUGCCCUAUGGUUAAAGUGUGGCAACGGCGCCUAUGCGUGGCUCGGCGCUUAAUGAUGAGCUGGCCUCCAUAUAGCAAUAUAUAGAGUAUAAACUGUGAUAAACUGUCAUGUAUGAACUGCAUCAUGGGAAUUGGGCUGCAAUGGAAUUUUCUGCAGGUACACUAACCUCGAAAACGUAUGUGUAGUUGACGACUAGCAAGAUACCGAGAGAGAACGUAUGCCACCAACAUAGAACGUUAUUGCCACAGUGUGUUGGCAAAAUCAGUGAGGACGAAUAGGACGAGCAUGCAUCCUGAUUGUUGCAUCAUGUUUGUCACCUAUACACCCAAAAUGCUUCUCUCAUCUUUAUUCCAGCAACCAUUGAUUGUAGAUAAUGUAGUGUAAUGCGGUAUUAUGGACUUCGAUAAAAUAGAUGUCCUCCGUUCUUUAGAUAAUCUAUUUAGGUGUCAUAUGUGUUUCCCUUGUACUGGAGGUGCCGAUAGAAGGUUGUGACCUGUUUGUUUAAACCAAAAAUUAGGCCAUGUUCUUAUUUAGUGAACCAUGACCCAAAGUUGAUUUUUCUGUUAUCACUCCAUGACCAAACACCUAAAAAUAAAUGCCUAGAUAAUUUCUUUGUUGGACCUAAAGUGUACCCGGACUUGAAACAAGAAUCUCGAGUCAUGUCUCCAUCCUAAACCAUAUCCUUAUUCAGUUGGUGCAAGCUGAUGUCUCUAUUCCAGUUUGCCUGUUCUUGAAGAUUGCAAUGUUGUUUUAUCAACCUAACCUAGGAAAAGCAAGUCCAACCAUUUUCUUGAAUUUGAUGCCUUUGGUUUCCUCAUGUUUAUCGAAGGCAUAUCAACUUAAUCCUUGACCUUGUGAUCUCUGCGAUGGGCAUAGAAAUAUGCUUGGGGCUGAAGUUACAGUCUCCCAUCGUACUCCCUCACCACCCAGUUUAGAUUAUGGCCACGCCUUGUUCAUUUCAUCGGGCCAUGAUCUAUUUGGCUCUCUACUUGUAACCAUUCAUACAGGUGGAGUAUCUCUUUGUAUAUUAUCACCCUUGCCCAGUCUAUUUGUGUUGUGCGAGAUUUCUUAUUGGUUAUGUUUGGUAAUGGCGUUAUGACUAAAACCGAUGGUGCCGUGACGAAACCGAGGGCCUCCUGUGAAUGUACACACAUGGUUGCGCUACUUGGCACGCGCUGGUAUCACGGUUAGUAGUUGUAAUCCAUUAUGAGACUAUGUCAAUAUGUUAUCUUGGCACAAUCUGUUUUUGCUACGUGAGAUUCAUUAUUAGUGCCAGUUCGGUAAUGGUGUCACGAUUAACGACUUAUGGUGCCGCAGCGAAACUGAGAGCCCCUUGUGAAUGUACACGCAAGGUUAUGCUGCUUGACGCAUGCUGGUAUCGAGGUCUCUAGUCAUGAUCCAUUGUGGAACUACACUGAUAUGUGAUCUUUCGUGGACUUCUCCCUUGGAACAAUUUUUAUGUUGUUUGUCAAGUGAUCAAGCAACAUCUAUCAUCUCUGUUAGAUCAAAAGGGCAAACCCCUUACUUGUGUUGUCUCUUUCCCCUUGACCUUGAUAGUGACUGCACGCAUAGAAGUUUCCUUUACAUCCUUUGUGUAAAGGUGAAACCUUGGAGCUUUUUAGUGUCGAGAGGCAACUGAUUAGCUCUCAAAUUGGAGAUUGGAUUUCCCCUGCUGCUGAGAUGCAGGAGUUUAUUCAUUCGCUCUCUUAUUUAAUCCAUGUAUUCCUGAACUAAGUCGGUUCAUCUCGCAUGAAGAAACGGAUGAACAACCAGACCAAAUGCAUUUCUACCUAAAUGCAUGACUUGUUGCGAGUAAAUGUGAACUCUCGACCAUAGGCUUACCGAUGGUACUGAGAGGACUUGCUCAAUGUCAAAAGUAGUUCAACAAGUUGGUUUUGACUAACUUGUAACUGCAUUUGGAACGAAGGUUGAGUUUAGAGAUCGUUUUAUCGAGUUGUCUAAACUCACUUUGGUUCAACCCACCCUAAAGAAAGUACUUGCAAGAAUUAAGUCAAGUUGACUGAUAACCACCUAAUCAUCGCUCUAGUCAUGCCACGAUCGCUUCACGUGUGCUUUUCCGGCAUGUGUGAUCAAGUAGAUCCAGGAUUAAUGCUCAAUAAAAUGGGUUGGUUGCGAAGGCAGCAUCUACAGACCCCUCCGCUGGUGAUUUUCUCAAAUCUAUAUCACCUUUAAUGGACUUGGAUUUUUCUGGCUAGCCAUGGGUCAAUUGUGAUGUUAUUCGACAUUCACACCCGUCUCGUGUGCUAUGAAUUUACCAUGACCACUUGUUGGUAAACCCCUUUCUGUGUGUUUUACCCAAGAGGUUGCAUCUGGUUCUAUUUGGGUAAAGUCGCAUAUCUAUCGCUCGCCCAACAGACUCAGAUAGUGCAGUGUCAUAAGAAAAAGCAAACUGCACACAUGGAACCUUAUUUGUUCCUCUGACAGGCAUCAUCUCUAUUGAUGGACAUCUUUAAAUAGCUUGUGGCGAUACAUGCUAUGUCCACUAGAGAAACCAUAUCCGGAGACAUUCGCCUUUACUUGGAUUGUCUUAUGAUUAACACUGAUAUGGACAUGGGUUAGAUGCUUCUCUACUCUUAGAAGUCUUUCGCUCUAAAUAUCGGGACGAGAUUCUUUUAAGGGGGGAGGGCUGUAACACCCCAGGUGUUUAUAUUCCGCUCGACAAUGAUUACGGAUUUAAGCACGUGAUAUCAGUAAAUAAGACGGACACUAAGGUCUAAUUAUUUUCAUCUAUCGCGGUUUAAUAUCGCAUCUAUUUCAUUUGUCGCAAGUGCGACAUCGUUUUUAUUUUUAUCUAUCCGGGCUCUUCCGAAAUUUUCGUGAUGUUCGGAACAUAGUUGUCCGAAAAUUGGUGCGUCCGGUGAUUAUUUAAAAUUCAUCGCUCGCGCAAAUACGAAAUUCGGAAGCUCGACCCACUCGGACGAUUUUAUCCCGGGCAAAUUAGUUUAAACUCGACGACUAAAAUACUCGGUGCAAGAUAAAUUGGAUCACACGCUACUUGAGAGAAAUCUUGCGCGAGAAAAAAGUGUCAGUACCGAAAUCAGUUAUUUUGGUCUGCUGUUUCUCGCCGGAUCCAAAUCUUCGGAUAUAAACAAUUAUUAAAUAAUUCGGUUUCCACUCGUCAACUGAGACAACUCGUCCGAGAAAUUUUAAUUGCGCUCCAAUUCACUGGUAAAUUAUCUGUGGCUGUGGAGCCAGUUGUUCGCGGAUGAAAUUAUUGACUUCAAAUCAAAUGGAACACAGUCCGAAAUACUAUUCUGAUUUGUUCCGAUUACGUCUCGUGCCAAUCUAAAAAUCUUGGCUCAAAAUAUCAGUGAUUCUCUAUUUAAAAAAAAGAGAGAAAGAAAUAAACAAAACAAAAAAAAAAUCCGCAGGAUCCCUAUCCUUACCGCCGCCCCCUUUGAUUUUUCAUCCACCGUUCUUAUCCCAGCGUGUGCACGUCGGCUCCUCGUUAAAAUAUCUCCACCGCUCAGCGGCUCCCUGAAAAAAAAAUAUUGUAUGCGUCUUCUGUUUUUUUAUCCUUAUCCUGAGUACGAUCAACUCUUGGAAAAUUAUUUUAGCCAUCUUCAUUUCUUGAGCACGUACAUCUCCCUAGAUAUAUUCUUCAAUGUACUCAUCCUGAUCUCCACGCGUUGAGCUCUCUGGGGACUCUUUUCCCUCACGUCAUCCCUCCCAUCUCUCAUUCUCCAAUAUAUCCUAUGCACAUAUAUUCAAGAGUUCCCCCACGCACUCACUAUCUCACGCAAGCCUCUCUGCCAUGCUCUAGCUCUCAGACAUGCUGCUUGCCUCCAGCGAUCUCCUCGUCGCUCAACUUUGCCAGGACUCACCCAGGCCUGUGUUCCCUCCGCAGUUGCUCGUUCUUCUCGCCAGGUCUUCUUCGCCCUCAGCCAUGGCACUGGCCGUGUGCCCCAGCGCCGGUCGCUCCUCCCUGCUUGCCCUCCAGCUCGACCUGGCCGCGCGCCCUCCAGCUCGGUGCUCCCCUGCUCGGUUUUCCCUGCGUCGCGCGCGUUCCGUCAUCCCCUGCUGUGACCCCGCCGUGGAGCUCCCCUGCAGCGCGUCCCUGUUUCCUUGUUGCUGCUCAUGCGAUGGGGUUCGUCCUCUGGGCCACGUCGGCAUGUGUAGUCGUUCCCUGCCUCUGAACCCCGGCUGGUCUAUGCUGCAACUCGCCGUCGAAUCGCCUGCUCCGCUGUAUGAAGUCGGCUUGUGUCGCACGUCUGGUGCUUGACGAAAAGCUCGAACAUGAGACCGUCAUCGAUCCUGCCGUCGUCCAUCUCGCCAACAUCGACUUCGUCUCAAAUAUCACCUCGACUUUGCGACAGCAGUCCGAUGUUUCUGAUGUCGCCCUGAGCUUAUUCCGUGUGCCACGACGUCUUGUUUACCUCCACGCCAAGGCAUCACCGAGGUAAUUGUGGGUUUCUUAGUGUGCUAUAAUUGUGUCUGAUUAUACGUGUGAAUCACAGUAAUGGAUUCUCAUUAAGGUGCUCGAUAAAUUGUGUAAGUCACGAAACUCUCGUUGACUUCGCAGUUCUUGCGAUUAUCGAGCCAGGUUCAGUUAUAGCGAGUUAUUUCGCUAUUUCGGUCAAUUAGCGGAAUUAGUGUACCGAGUAGAAUAUGAGUAGGCCUAUGUGAUGAUAAAAUAUUUUAAUCACUUCUAUAGAUGUAUAUAUAUAUAUAUU